rnacentral:lncRNA from 7 species
AUGCAUUGCUUUCCCUGUAUUUCUUGCCAUCCACUCCUUCCUUCGAGUUAUUCUUUACUUUUUGACUUGGCUUUUUUCUUCUUUUCUCUUUACCUUUCUUCUCUUGUCAUUAUCCGUUUUUCCUUUCGUUUUUUCUUUUUUCAUCUAUUAUUUUUUUCUUUUCUUUUUUUCUUUUUUUCAUAUUUUUCUGUCCUCUUUUUUAUUUCUAUUUUCUCUUUUUUCUUUUUUCUUUAUCUUUUUUCUUUUUUAGCUUUUCUCUUUUUUCUCUUUUUUGUUCAUUUUUUCUUUUCUCUUUUUUCUCUUUUUGUUCAUUUUUUCUUUUCUCUUUUUUCUCUUUUUUGUUCAUUUUUUUCUUUUCUCUUUUUUCUCUUUUUGUCAUUUUUUUCUUUUCUCUUUUUUCUCUUUUUUGUUCAUUUUUUUCUUUUCUUUUUUCUUUUUUGUUCAUUUCUUUUCAUUUUUUCUCUUUUUCUUAUUUUUCUUUUCUUUUUUCUCUUAUUUCAUAUUUUUUUGCUUAUUUUUUCUUUUCUUUUUUCAUCAUUGGUUUGCCUUCAGCCCUCCCCUCAGCCCUUCCCUCCGCUCUGCUCUUCACCCAUCCCCUCCCCUCCCCAUCCCCUCUUUCUCCCUUACCCUCCCCUUUCCCCUUGCCUCUGCCUCCCAUUACCUUGCCUGCCCUUCACUUACCUUCUCCUCACUUCCUGCUUCUUGAUGCUAUGGGCUUUUGCUGCUACUCACGCCAAACCUCAGCACUUGCCUACUCUGCUUGCUGCUCUGCCAAGUUGCUCUCUACUCUGCUCACAGCUUCACGCCUACUGCCUGCCCUUCUCUGUCCCCUUCUCGUGCCCUUCAGGCUUUUCCUCCCCUUGCUGAGCAAGGCCAUGCCCGGUAGCUACCCUUGAACCUCCUCCGCCCUUUGCCUUCCUCCACAGAGAUGCUUGCUUCUGGCCAGCACUCCUGCCCGGUGCCUAGCCCACACACCUCAUCUCUUGGGGAGAUAGCAAGGUGGCCUGUAGCUACCCACACCUCCUCCCGGGCAUGGCUUCUCAGCUUUGCUUCAAGCCCAGAACCCAAAGGAGCUCCUCUUACCUUUUGGCCCAUUCUUCUCCUCCCGCGCAGCUCCUGUGGCAAGCAGGGGCACAGCUCUGGCCAGAUUCCUCCAUUCCUGCAAGGUUGCUUUUUGUCAUUCUUUGCCGCCUUUUGCUUUGCUCUCUUUUGCUGUGCUAUGCCUAGCUUUCCUACUUGCUUGCUCUGUAUUUACAUGCAUUGCUUUUUACUUGUUAUUCUCUUUUUUCCCGUUUCAUUAUUUUCCCUUCAACCCUCCCCUUCCCUCACCCUACCUCCAAUUUUUUCCUUCCUACCCUCUCUCCUCUCCCCCCCCAUCCACCCACGCCCCCACUUACUCACCCCCUCACUUCUCCCCCCUCUCCACCCUUCCUCCCUCUUUUUCGCAGGUUUUUUUUUUUUUUUUUUUUUUUUUUUUUCCGGUUAAAAUUCAAAAUUGGUUGGGGGUUUUUUUUUUUUUUUUUUUUUUUUUUUUUUUUUUUUUUUUUUUUUUUUUUUUUUUUUUUUUUUUUUUUUUUUUUUUUUUUUUUUUUUUUUUUUUUUUUUUUUUUUUUUUUUUUUUUUUUUUUUUCUCUUGUCAUUAUCCUUUUUUCCUUUUGUUUUUUUUUUUUUAUCUAUUAUUUUUUUCUUUUUUUUUUUCUUUUUUUUUUUUUUCAUAUUUUUCUGUCCUCUUUUUUAUUUCUAUUUUUCUUUUUUUUUUUUUUUAUCUUUUCCUUUUUUUAGCUUUUCUCUUUUUUCUUUUUUUGUUCAUUUUUUCUUUUCUCUUUUUUCUCUUUUUUGUCAUUUUUUUCUUUUCUCUUUUUCUCUUUUUGUUCAUUUUUUUCUUUUCUCUUUUUUCUUUUUUGUUCAUUUUUUUCUUUUCUCUUUUUUGUCUUUUUUGUUCAUUUUUUUCUUUUCUCUUUUUUUCUAUUUUUCUUAUUUUUCUUUUCUUUUUUCUCUUAUUUCAUAUUUUUUGUCUUAUUUUUCUUUUCUUUUUUCAUCAUUGGUUUGCCUUCAGCCCUCCCCUCAGCCCUUCCCUCCGCUCUGCUCUUCACCCAUCCCCUCCCCUCCCCAUCCCUCUUUCUCCCUUACCCUCCCCUUUCCCCUUGCCUCUGCCUCCCAUUACCUUGCCUGCCCUUCACUUACCUUCUCCUCACUUCCUGCUUCUUGAUGCUAUGGGCUUUUGCUGCUACUCACGCCAAACCUCAGCACUUGCCUACUCUGCUUGCUGCUCUGCCAAGUUGCUCUCUACUCUGCUCACAGCUUCACGCCUACUGCCUGCCCUUCUCUGUCCCCUUCUCGUGCCCUUCAGGCUUUUCCUCCCCUUGCUGAGCAAGGCCAUGCCCGGUAGCUACCCUUGAACCUCCUCCGCCCUUUGCCUUCCUCCACAGAGAUGCUUGCUUCUGGCCAGCACUCCUGCCCGGUGCCUAGCCCACACACCUCAUCUCUUGGGGAGAUAGCAAGGUGGCCUGUAGCUACCCACACCUCCUCCCGGGCAUGGCUUCUCAGCUUUGCUUCAAGCCCAGAACCCAAAGGAGCUCCUCUUACCUUUUGGCCCACAUUCUUCUCCUCCCGCGCAGCUCCUGUGGCAAGCAGGGGCACAGCUCUGGCCAGAUUCCUCCAUUCCUGCAAGGUUGCUUUUUGUCAUUCUUUGGCCUUUUGCUUUGCUCUCUUUUGCUGUGCUAUGCCUAGCUUUCCUACUUGCUUGCUCUGUAUUUACAUGCAUUGCUUUUUACUUGUUAUUCUCUUUUUUCCCGUUUCAUUAUUUUCCCUUCAACCCCCCCUUCCCUCACCCUACCUCCAAUUUUUUCCUUCCU